rnacentral:rRNA from 1 species
AUGAGUAGGGGUGGCAAGUUCAAAAGAACUGACAAGAAGGAUGUUGCUCGAAUUUUUCAAGCUGAUAUUCAACUUAUUCAGAGAAUCUGGAGGACAGUAGAGCGACAAAAAGAACUUGGUAAGGAGGUGGAUGUGUCCAACCAAAAGAAAGGAAGAUGUGGAAGGAAAGGAAAGGAUAAUGUUCUAUCUCAAAUCCCCACAGUUCCAUUGAAUAGAAGGUCGACUCUCAGGUCACUUGCUCGCGCAUUGGGUGUCAGUCAUACUACACUCUACCAGAAACUCAAGCUUCGCAAGAUUAGGAGGCACUCCAAUCGUUUGAAGCCAAGCUUGAAAGAAAAGAAUAAAAGAGAGAGGAUCAAGUUUUGCAUGUCGAUGCUUGAUGAGACAACUUUAGCAGCCACAAGACCUAAAUUCAUCACUAUGCACAACAUUGUGCAUAUUGACGAAAAGUGGUUCUCUAUGACAAAAAUGAACAGAAAUUACUGCCUCCUCCCUCAGGAAGAUGACCCGGUCAGAACCAUUCGGAACAAGAACUGUAUUGGCAAAGUAAUGUUCCUAACCGCUGUUGCUCAACCCAGAUAUGAUGCUGAAGGCAAUGUAACAUUCUCAGGGAAAAUUGGUGUCUGGCCUUUCGUCCAAGAGAUUCCAGCUGCUAGAAGAAGUGAAAAUAGAGCAAGAGGGACCAUGGAAAUCAAGAACGUCACUGUGAACUGA